rnacentral:rRNA from 1 species
AGCGAACGCUGGCGGCAGGCUUAACACAUGCAAGUCGAACGCCCCGCAAGGGGAGUGGCAGACGGGUGAGUAACACGUGGGAACGUACCCUUUGGUUCGGAAUAACUUGGGGAAACUCAAGCUAAUACCGGAUAAGCCCUUAUGGGGAAAGGUUUACUGCCGAAGGAUCGGCCCGCGUCUGAUUAGCUAGUUGGGGGGGUAAUGGCUCACCAAGGCGACGAUCAGUAGCUGGUCUGAGAGGAUGAUCAGCCACACUGGGACUGAGACACGGCCCAGACUCCUACGGGAGGCAGCAGUGGGGAAUAUUGGACAAUGGGGGCAACCCUGAUCCAGCCAUGCCGCGUGAGUGAUGAAGGCCUUAGGGUUGUAAAGCUCUUUUACCCGGGACGAUAAUGACUGUACCGGGAGAAUAAGCCCCGGCUAACUUCGUGCCAGCAGCCGCCGUAA